rnacentral:rRNA from 1 species
CUUGCAUACCUAUAAGAGGUCCAGCCUGCCCAGUGACUCUGUUCAACGGCCGCGGUAUCCUAACCGUGCGAAGGUAGCGUAAUCACUUGUUCUUUAAAUGAGGACUAGUAUGAAUGGCAUCACGAAGGUUAUACUGUCUCCUCUUUCCAAUCAGUGAAACUAAUCCCCCCGUGAAGAAGCGGGGAUAACUUUAUAAGACGAGAAGACCCUAUGGAGCUUUAAACUAAGAAUCAACUGACUUUUCCACUUUUAAAUUCCAGAAAACUAACUUUUACCAAGACACUCUGAUUUCUAGUUUUAGGUUGGGGUGACCACGGAGUAAAAACUAACCUCCGCAAUGAACAGGGAUCUUCCCUUAACCAAGGACCACAACCCUAAGAAUCAACACAUUGACAUCAAUUGACCCAAAAAAUUUGAUCAAUGAAC